GAAUUCGUUAUAGCCUCAGCAGUGGGGAAUAUUGGACAAUGGGGGCAACCCUGAUCCAGCCAUGCCGCGUGUGUGAAGAAGGCUUUCGGGUUGUAAAGCACUUUCAGUAGGGAGGAAAACCUGAUGGCUAAUACCCAUGAGGCUUGACGUUACCUACAGAAGAAGCACCGGCUAACUCCGUGCCAGCAGCCGCGGUAAUACGGAGGGUGCAAGCGUUAAUCGGAAUUACUGGGCGUAAAGCGCGCGUAGGUGGUUUGGUAAGCGAG
rnacentral:rRNA from 1 species